UACGUAGGUCCCGAGCGUUGUCCGGAUUUAUUGGGCGUAAAGCGAGCGCAGGUGGUUUAUUAAGUCUGGUGUAAAAGGCAGUGGCUCAACCAUUGUAUGCAUUGGAAACUGGUAGACUUGAGUGCAGGAGAGGAGAGUGGAAUUCCAUGUGUAGCGGUGAAAUGCGUAGAUAUAUGGAGGAACACCGGUGGCGAAAGCGGCCCUCUGGCCUGUAACUAACACUGAGGCUCGAAAGCGUGGGGAGCAAACAGG
rnacentral:rRNA from 1 species